rnacentral:rRNA from 1 species
CAGCAGCCGCGGGAAUACGUAGGGUGCAAGCGUUAAUCGGAAUUACUGGGCGUAAAGCGUGCGCAGGCUGUGUUGUAAGACUGAUGUGAAAUCCCCGGGCUCAACCUGGGAACUGCAUUGGUGACUGCAACGCUGGAGUGCGGCAGAGGGGGAUGGAAUUCCGCGUGUAGCAGUGAAAUGCGUAGAUAUGCGGAGGAACACCGAUGGCGAAGGCAAUCCCCUGGGCCUGCACUGACGCUUAUGCACGAAAGCGUGGGGAGCAAACAGGAUUAGAUACCCCAGUAGUCCCUGUCUCUUAUAC